AUAACCAGACAUUGAAAUAUAUUACAAGGUUGAUACUGUUAGAUGACAGGGUAUUUUCCUCAUCUAUUUGUUAUGCUGGGCUAAAAGAUAUUUGCUUUGCUAUUCCCAGAAUUUUGAAUGGUGGUGCUUUGGAAACUGGGGGUUGAUAAACUAAGUUCACAUCAUUCAUUGAUGUUGGCGAAUACCAUGGAACAGAAGCUAAAUUUCUCAGAAACUGAAUUUCCAUUCUUUGUUCUCACUAUUUCUCUUAUCAUUUUAUAUAAUUAAUUGCAGUAAAAAAUAAAUGUUGUCUUGUUGUAUGAGUAUA